GGCCUCCUGGUACUUACAACAAGCCAUGUUCUUAUACUGAUUGUAUAGAAAGAGGAGGGAAAGUAAACCUACUCCAUAUACAUCUCAGCCCAGGCCUUGUGCCUGGUCUGUGUUGUGAAUGGGGAGACAUGG
rnacentral:snoRNA from 1 species